rnacentral:rRNA from 1 species
CCUACGGGAGGCAGCAGUGAGGAAUAUUGGUCAAUGGUCGGGAGACUGAACCAGCCAAGCCGCGUGAGGGAUGAAGGUACAGAGUAUCGUAAACCUCUUUUGUCAGGGAACAAAGGCGGGGACGUGUCCCCGGAUGAGUGUACCUGAAGAAAAAGCAUCGGCUAACUCCGUGCCAGCAGCCGCGGUAAUACGGAGGAUGCGAGCGUUAUCCGGAUUUAUUGGGUUUAAAGGGUGCGCAGGCGGUCUGUUAAGUCAGCGGUAAAAGCCCGGGGCUCAACCCCGGCCCGCCGUUGAAACUGGCAGUCUCGAGUUGGCGAGAAGUAUGCGGAAUGCGCGGUGUAGCGGUGAAAUGCAUAGAUAUCGCGCAGAACUCCGAUUGCGAAGGCAGCAUGCCGGCUCCACACUGACGCUGAGGCACGAAAGCGUGGGUAUCGAACAGGAUUAGAUACCCUUGUAGUC